UACGUAGGGUGCAAGCGUUAAUCGGAAUUACUGGGCGUAAAGCGUGCGCAGGCGGUGAUGUAAGACAGGUGUGAAAUCCCCGGGCUUAACCUGGGAACUGCAUUUGUGACUGCAUCGCUGGAGUGCGGCAGAGGGGGAUGGAAUUCCGCGUGUAGCAGUGAAAUGCGUAGAUAUGCGGAGGAACACCGAUGGCGAAGGCAAUCCCCUGGGCCUGCACUGACGCUCAUGCACGAAGACGUGGGGAG
rnacentral:rRNA from 1 species